rnacentral:rRNA from 1 species
UACGAGAGGCCCAAACGUUAUUCGGAAUUACUGGGCUUAAAGAGUUCGUAGGCGGCGCAGAAAGUAGGGUGUGAAAGCCCUCGGCUUAACCGAGGAAUUGCGCCCUAAACUACUGUGCUUGAGGAACCUAGAGGUGAGCAGAACAGAUGGUGGAGCGGUGAAAUGCGCAGAUAUCAGGAGGAACACCGGUGGCGAAGGCGCUGCUCUGGGCCGGAACUGACGCUGAGGAGCGAAAGCGUGGGUAGCAAACAGG